CGAGGGGCAUCAGGAAGAAAGCUUGCUUUCUUUGCUGGCGACCGGCGCACGGGUGAGUAACACGUAUCCAACCUGCCCUUUACUCGGGGAUAGCCUUUCGAAAGAAAGAUUAAUACCCGAUGGGAUAAUCAUUCCGCAUGGUUUGAUUAUUAAAGGAUUCCGGUAAAGGAUGGGGAUGCGUUCCAUUAGGUUGUUGGUGAGGUAACGGCCCACCAAGCCUUCGAUGGAUAGGGGUUCUGAGAGGAAGGUCCCCCACAUUGGAACUGAGACACGGUCCAAACUCCUACGGGAGGCAGCAGUGAGGAAUAUUGGUCAAUGGGCGAUGGCCUGAACCAGCCAAGUAGCGUGAAGGAUGACUGCCCUAUGGGUUGUAAACUUCUUUUAUAUUAGAAUAAAGUGCAGUAUGUAUACUGUUUUGUAUGUAUAAUAUGAAUAAGGAUCGGCUAACUCCGUGCCAGCAGCCGCGGUAAUACGGAGGAUCCGAGCGUUAUCCGGAUUUAUUGGGUUUAAAGGGAGCGUAGGUGGACUGGUAAGUCAGUUGUGAAAGUUUGCGGCUCAACCGUAAAAUUGCAGUUGAUACUGUCAGUCUUGAGUACAGUAGAGGUGGGCGGAAUUCGUGGUGUAGCGGUGAAAUGCUUAGAUAUCACGAAGACUCCGAUUGCGAAGCAGCUCACUGGACUGCAACUGAC
rnacentral:rRNA from 1 species